rnacentral:rRNA from 1 species
UGAGCGGCGGACGGGUGAGUAACGCGUGGAUAACCUGCCUCACACAGGGGGAUAACAGUUAGAAAUGACUGCUAAUACCGCAUAAGCGCACGGCAUCGCAUGAUGCAGUGUGAAAAACUCCGGUGGUGUGAGAUGGAUCCGCGUCUGAUUAGGUAGUUGGUGGGGUAACGGCCCACCAAGCCGACGAUCAGUAGCCGACCUGAGAGGGUGACCGGCCACAUUGGGACUGAGACACGGCCCAAACUCC